rnacentral:tRNA from 1 species
GCCUGGGUGGCUAAGUGGGUAAAGCAUCUGACUUGGGCUCAGGUUAUGAUCUCACGGUUUGAGUUCAAGACCCCACGUCAGGCU